AGAGUUUGAUCCUGGCUCAGGAUAAACGCUGGCGGCGUGCCUAACACAUGCAAGUCGAACGCGACAUGAGCAAUCGUGUCGAGUGGCGGACGGGUGAGGAACACGUGGGUCAUCUACCUUCUGGUGAGGAAUACCGGCGAGAAAUCGCCGACAAUACCGCAUAAGUUUGGCAGACAAAGAAAGCCUCGGAGACGAGGUGC
rnacentral:rRNA from 1 species